GUGAUUAUAUGCUCUCUCCCUGCAUAUAGUUAUAUCAAUACUUGUGCAUUUCCUCUUCUAUUCAGCGGUGUCAUAUUCGCCUGUUAAACAUCCAUUGCCUUUCACCACAGAGGUGUCUGCAUUUCAGAGGAGAAACGGAAGAUGGGAAGGCUGGAGGACCACCGAUCAGAGGGCAGGACUGUGUGAGACGCCUAGCUGAACGAUCCUGGGAAAGUAGAGACCUUGAUGUCCCAAUUCCAUGGUCCCUGCACAGGUCUGACUCUGCAGUGCAGGCCUGACUGUAACAGCACCGGCUCUUCCAGACACCGAUAAUCCUACUGCAUUGUGUCAAAUAUAAUACGCCUGAAGUUCCAGCAACUGGGGGACAAGAAUCAUCAUUGGAUAUGUUCUUAGCUUCUUGAGAAUUGCACCACUUGGCACUCGAGAGAGCCCAUGUUUCCCCAUGAAGAGGCCCUGGCUUUCUGCCCUCCUGAGUUUUGUUUCCAUAUUCUUCUCAGAAUGGCGCCAUGACUUACCGUCUGGUGCCUCUGGGAUCACUGCUCCUGAUGCAUUUUGCACUGGUCAUGAAAUUCCAACUGCCACCUUGAAAGCCUUACACACCAACGUUGGAGAUCGCUUCCUUCACCUCCCGGUUUUCUGGUCUACUAAACCUUUUCCUAGAUUCUCGAUGCCAGUUCCAACUCUAAAAGCCACUGCCCUAUACUGAUUGGGAGAUAAGCCUGAGACAAAACCCCUGGUUCAAAGAUCCUUAGAUUUUAGAAUAGUUUGGCCCCACGUCCAAACUUUACAGCUGGCCCUGUACAGGGCCAAACGCAACCCCCAGGUCUAAACAUUCCUGAGCCAUGGGAAAGCUCAGAUCCCAGAGUCAGCAUCACUGUUGGACUCUCUCAAGAGACUGGUCUGGCUUCUGUUCUUCACCAAGUGGGUGUUUUUCAAGCAUUGUUUGGGAUUUGCAGCUUUCUCUGCUGCUCCAAAUUGAGCUGCCCUAGGUAAGGAUUUCCUAGGUCUCCUCUACUAAAGCUAGGUUACGUGCCUGCUGCUACUUCACACAUUUCUGAGUGCUACAGUAUUCAACACAUUCAAAGCCAGCCCAAGUUCCCUCUGAAGUGAAAGAUGGUCAGGUUUUCUGUACAUGCUCUCCCUUCCCUCCCACUCGUCCUCUUUUCUGAAGUUUUCACUAUGAUUUUUUUCUCCAUUUCCCUCUUCUCCACUCAUUCCCCGGUGGCCCCGCGUUCUCCCCUUUAAGUCCCCCUCCUUCCUCUCCCCUUCCCCCCCCCCCCACAUGAUGGUAUUCUACAAGAGGGCAAGGGGCAGACAGAGCCAUUCUGUUGCCUUGUCCUCCCAGCAGUGGGGCUGGAGUGAGGUCCGGUGAGGACAACGCUAGCCUGGGAUAAAUACAUUUGACUGAGAGGUGCUCUGCUACGUGAUAAUAGGAGCCAUAUACCUCUAGAAUGAGGGGCAGUGGGUGAAUUUGGCCGAACAGUUGGGUCUCAUUACUCACUCUAUCUUGGGUUGCGAAAGAACAUUUUUUAACAUUGUUCUUUCACUGGUUUUGAUUUUUCUUUGCAUUUUGCUCCGUACGGAGGAUGAAACUAGACCAGUCAGUUUCAGCUGCUGUUUCCAGACAAUUUUUGCUUUUUAGCGAACCCUGCCGUGUUUGGGUUGGGAGCACCGCAGGGGGAAUGUUCAGGUCCACCCAAACCUUGGGGUUGAAAUGAAAAAGAAAAUGGGGGAAGCAUUUCAAUUUCACGCAGGUUUUGUGAAAGUCAGUUCAGUCCUCAGUGGCCGUACUUGAUAGCAGCUAUAGAAUCCAGCACAUGAUGGGGAGAAGGUGAUGGUGAUUCCCAGUUAGGGUAGCCUACAAACUAUAGCCUCAUUAGGGGGUGGGCUAUGAAUUGGGGCGUGUCUAGUCCCCAUGGUCAGCUGACAUUCACACGGCCAUGAGCAGCAAAAUACUAGCUCAUUGAUUUUUGGGUCUGCAUGUUUUUCCUGCUCAGAGGAUAAGCAAGGCAGACUUAAGGGCAUGUCCUCCUACUCGAAUCCUUUCCUGGUCAGGGCUUCUUGCCGCCAAAGACCCAAUGGGCAGAGUGUCUGCUCCCUUCGCCUUGCUGUCUUGUCUGGGGAAUGAUUGGGCUUUAAAUAUAUCUUUUUUUCAAGGCAAGUCAUGAACGGAGAUAUUUCCCCCCCUUUCUUUUGUUAAGGUGGACACAGCCACAAGGGCUGGAAAAUAAUGGACAGCAGAGGAGAGUUUUUAAGAAGACAUGAAAGUUAUUGUCUAUAGGCCUCGAUUCUCUCGCCACCCGCAGGCAGUUCUUGGAAUCUACCUCAAAAAUGCCAGUCACUGGAUUCUAAAGCUGCAAUAGCUUCUGUGUGUUGAGUCGAGUUUCUGAAACUUCAUAUCCUUCCUAACCAGCUGGAAAGAAAUUGCUCUAUUAGACAAACUCUGGUUCUGAGGGAAUGAACAAAUAGAGCUUCAGCUACCCUGCUGGCAUGUGGUGUAAAUACUUAAUUUGUGUUACAGUAUGUGACAAUACAUAUGAUCCGAUUUAAUCAUCUGGACUAGCCAAGGAUCCAGGCCUAGCAAACACAACUUAGAAACCAUUAAAUCACAUAGAAUUCAUUCAUACUUUAAAAUAAGCUUUAUUUUUUUUUAAUAUUUUUAUAUUUGCAUCCAUGCCUUCAAGGACUCUUCCCCACUCACGUGGGA